rnacentral:lncRNA from 13 species
UUACCUGAGAACAUAGGGGACACAAUCUUAGAGAUCCAUGCAAAGAAGGGUCGCCAAAGGAGAAGCUACAACGACUGACCGCUGAAGCGCUUAGGGGGCUGGGACCAGCCUCUGCGCCAACAAUCAACGAUAGGCUGGGUGAGUCUAAACCACGCCCAGUCUCUACUCUGACAGGCCGGCUCGGAAGCAGGAACUACUUCUGUCAUCAGAGUAUAUUGUAAUAUCUUUGUCAGGAACAAGUCAGUUCUCUGUUUUGCCCUGCGAGGUGUGACAUAGAGCCCGUAUAUACGAAAAUUUUGUAUUUACCACUUAUUGCUUAGCUAAUAAAAAAUACAUAGUAUACAAUCGUGACUCAGUGUCAUACUUAUCCUGAUACCAGAUUCGAAUUGACGCAACCCUGACACGUGAUUAAUGGACAGUCCAGCAGGCAUCAGCUAUGUAGCCAAGUGAUCAUAG